UUCCGGUUGAUCCCGCCGGACCUGACUGCUAUCGGAUUGAUACUAAGCCAUGCGAGUCAUUGUAGCAAUACAAGGCAUACGGCUCAGUAACGCGUAGUCAACCUACCCUAUGGACGGGAAUAACCUCGGGAAACUGAGUAUAAUGCCCGAUAGAACACUAUACCUGGAAUGGUUUGUGUUUCAAAUGAUUUAUUGCCGUAGGAUGGGACUGCGGCCUAUCAGUUUGUUGGUGAGGUAAUGGCCCACCAAGACUAUUACAGGUACGGGCUCUGAGAGGAGUGGCCCGGAGAUGGGUACUGAGACACGGACCCAGGCCCUAUGGGGCGCAGCAGGCGAGAAAACUUUGCAAUGUGCGAAAGCACGACAAGGUUAAUCCGAGUGGUUUCUGCUAAAGGAACCUUUUGACAGUCCUAGAAACACUGUUGAAUAAGGGGUGGGCAAGUUCUGGUGUCAGCCGCCGCGGUAAAACCAGCACCUCAAGUGGUCAGGAUGAUUAUUGGGCCUAAAGCAUCCGUAGCCGGCUCAGUAAGUUUUCGGUUAAAUCUGUACGCUCAACGUACAGGCUGCCGGGAAUACAGCAGAGCUAGGGAGUGGGAGAGGUAGACGGUACUCGGGAGGAAGUGGUAAAAUGCUUUGAUCUUUCGAUGACCACCUGUGGCGAA
rnacentral:rRNA from 1 species